UCAGAGCAGCCUCAGCCAGGACACGGCCUCCAAACAAACAGUAAUUCCCCCACCACGCGUGAGUCACUAGACACGGGUCAGGUUUCCAGUACAAUCCAGACUCGACGCCCCCCACUCAAGGAGGCCCACAGAGGUCAGCACAGGAAGGGAGUUUGAAAGGGGUUGGGUGGGAUGUCAAAGGGAGGCCCCAAUCUGAGCAACAGGCCAAGCCCAGAGCCAAGAAAU